GCCUGGGAAAACCCUGACGAACUUUCAAAAUUUGAGAUUUGCUCUCCAAGUCCGUCUGGCCAACAGCCCAUUCAAGCCCAUUUCCAAUUUUUCCAAAUCGAGGCACCAGUCACAACCGGCGGGCUUUACACUGC